UGAGUUUGAUGUUGGCUCCGAAUGAACGCUGUCUAGAAGCUUUAACACAUGCUAAUCGAACGGUCAGAUUAAACAAAGUCUUUUAUAAAUAAUAAAAGAUUUAAUUUGAAAGUGGUGUACAGGUGAGUAUAAAAGAGGAAGACUACCCUAAAGUAAGGAAUAAAAUGCCUUAUAAAAAUAUAAAUAAGAAAGAUUAUAAUAAUCGCUUUAGGAUGAGCCUCUUCGGGGAGGUAGUAGGAGAGGUAAUUGCUUAACUAGCCUAAGAUCCGUAGUCGUAUCUGAGAGGAUGAUCGACCACAUUGGCUCUGAAACAACAGCCAAGUCUACCCAUAAGGGAAACCAGCAGUGAGGAAUAUUGGUCACUGACCGAAAGGUUGAACCAGCUAUCUAGAAGGGUGUAAACUAAUUAAGGAUAAAGCCCUAAAAAAGAGAGGAUAAUGACGUUAUCUUUUUGACAAGUCUCGACCAAAUCACGUGCCAGCAGUCGCGGUAAAACGUGGGAGGCAAGCGUUAUUGAUCUUAAAUGGGUCUAAAGGGUCCGUAAAACUGUAAAUUAAGCGAGUAUUUAAAUUACUAUCGAACUGAUUUACUAGAGUCUUAUAGAGGAACAGAGGAAUUGCAAGAGUAAGGAUGAAAUCUUUUGAUACUUGUAGGACCGCUAAUGGCGAAGGCAUCGUUCCAGGUAAAGACUGACGUUGAGGGACGUAGGCGUUGGGAGCGAAAAGGAUUAGAUACCCCUGUAGUCAACGCUGUAAACGAUGAGUGCUUAAGAUUAGUAAUAAUUAUUAUUCUUAUUUUUUAAUAAUUCUAAAUUAGUCUCGAAAUGAAGAUGUUAAGCACUUCACCUGGGGAGUACUGUCGCAAGGCUGAAACCCAAAACAUUAGACGGUCACGGAAACCAGCAGUGAAGCAUGUUAUUUAAUACGAUGAUCCGCGUACAACCUUACCACUUCUUGAAUGUCCUAUUUUUAUAGGCCUAUUUAAUUAAAUUUCUUUAAUAUUAAGAUCCGCGUACAACCUUACCACUUCUUGAAUGUCCUUUCCUGUCAAAAGGAAAGGCCUAUUUAACCUCUUCGGAAUAAAAAAAAGAGGUUAAAUUUGGAUAAAUACAACAGGCGUUGCAUGGCUGUCUUCAGUUCGUGUCGUGAGAUGUCAGGUUCAUUCCGCUAAACGAAUGAAACCCUUCUUUCUUAAUUUUAGAUAUAUUAAUAGCCGUUUUUUUUUAAUUCUAUUUUUAUUUCAUUAAGAUGAUUCUUGGAUAACGAGAAUAUAAUAGGGAUUAAGACAAGUCGUCAUGGCCUUUAUGAAGUGGGCUAUAGACGUGCCACAAGAGCCUUUACAAUGGGAUGCUAAGACGUGAGUCAGCGCUAAACCUUAAAAAAGGCUAUGUUCGGAUUGUAGUCUGCAACUCGACUACAUGAAGUAGGAAUUGCUAGUAAUCGUAAAUCAGGACGUUACGGUGAAGUCUUAAAUCUGUGAUGUACUAACUACUCGUCAAGCGCGGAAAGGUGCGUGGCCCCGAAGAGGUUAUCUUUUUAUUUAAAUUUAAAAAGAUGGUUUCGACUGGUCGGCGCUGAUUCGUGUUAAGUCGAAAUAAGGUAGGUGUAGGGGAACCUGUACCUG
rnacentral:rRNA from 1 species